UUUAAUUCGAGGUAGUUGGUAGUUGCGACAAAUCUAGAUUGAGCCUCUGUUCCUUUUUUGGUGUCUCAAAAUGGCAUACAUAAAUGUGUCUGUCAUGGCUAAACAGAAAAAGGAGAGAGAGUGCUUCUAUCAUCACAUCAUUAGCAAGAAAUGGGCGUUGGAACAAGUCUUCCUUGAAUUCUCAGUUAGAGCAUCCUCCUUUUCUGCAACAGCGAGAAAGCAAGCUUUAAGGGUGAAUUCGCCUUGGCGAACUUUAAAAAGACAUAAAAUACAUCUCGAUGAAAAUAGUUCCGUCUUAGGUUGUACCUUAUAUGGGCUAGUCUGUCACUACCAAAGUUAUAGUCAAGAUUGGGCGGAGGAUCAAAGAUCCCCAUUUUGGGUUCGAACAUUGUCUUUUCCAUCUUAGGUGGGUACAGAAGCUGCUGAUGAUGAAGAAAAACUCUCAAUCCUGGUUCGAGGCUAUGCUGCUUCUAAGCUCUCCUCACUUUCACGGCAAGAAGGCCAUAGCAGCGUUUAGGGCUGCAGGAUCUUUAAAGUAGGUUCGACCGCAUGCUACAGAGGAACGACAGAAGAAAAAAACAAAAAAAAAUUUAAGGCCGGCCGGCCAUACUAUUUUUGAAAAAACAUUUGGAAAAAAUCGGGUAUAGCUAUAAAAAAGAGAGAACAGACGCACAGCCCUUUGGCGCCCACGUGCCAAAUAGUACCGGCGUGCGGUUAUACUGGAAAAAUUAAAAAAACUGCGUCUAUCCGAGCGGCUGUAUUGGAAAAAUUAAAACAACUGAGUUUAGCCGUGCGGCUAUACUAUUUUUAAUAUUAAAAAAAACUAUUUAUCCGCCACGUGUCAAAACUAGUCUAUUUUUUAAAAAAAAUAACAAACACGGAGUAUAGCCGUGCGGCUAUACUAUUUUCCAAAAUAAGCGCCACGUGUUAAAAAUUAGUUUUUUUUGAAAAAAGUCGUAGUAUAGUCGCCCGGCUAUACUAUUUUAAAUACAUUAUAUUCAAAAGGUAUAGCCGUACGGUUACACUAUUUAAUAAAUAAAAAAAAUAAAAAAUAAAGGACUCUCCUAAUUGCAUUAGUUUGUACUUUAUACAAAUUAAUUUGCUAGUUUCAACAUAUCCAAAGUAAAUAUUAAUCGGCCACUAUAUAAUAUUGUAAUAUAAUUUUUAUAACGUAUAUUAUUCUUAUUCAAUAGUAUGUGAGAAUUAUUUGUAUAAUACGUGAAUUUUGUGUGUCUUAAUUCAAAAUUUGUAAAAAAAUACGUGUAUUAAACAUUAGAAAUACUUAUGUACAUGUACAAUACGACUAUUCCACAUUUCUCUUUUAAAAAACGUGAGACGUGUAUAAAUAUAAAAGACUAUAGUCACUCAUCUAUACUAUUUAUUAAAGACCUUUAUAUAUAUAUAUAUAUAUAUAUAUAUUUUUUUUUUCAAAAAGGUAAAGCCCGCCGGCUAAACUAGUUUUAAAAAAAAACAUUUGAAAAAAAUCGAGGAUGGCCGCACAACUAUACUAUUUACUAUAUAUAAAAAUAAAAAUAAAGAGAACAGACGCACAGCCUUUUGGUGCCCACGUGUAAAAUAGUCAGGAGAAAUAAAAAAACUGUGUCUAGCCGUGCGGCUGCACUGGAAAAAUUUUAAAAACUGAGUUCAGCCGUGCGGCGAUACUUUUUUAUAUUAAAAAAGACCCCUACCGAUUAGCCGCCACAUUUCAAAACUUGUCUAUAAAAAC
rnacentral:lncRNA from 1 species